rnacentral:tmRNA from 1 species
GGGGGCGCUCUGGAUUCGACGCCGGUAUCAAACCCUGAGGUGCAUGUCGAGAGGGUAUAGACUCUCGUAAAUCAAUCUAUGCAACUUAAUAGUUGCCAACGACGAUAGCUACGCUCUCGCUGCCUAAUUAGGCGCAGCGAGCGGUCGCCCCGGGAUGCCUGUAAACCGGUUUUCGCGACUGUCAUAUAGAACAGGAUCGCUAGCCUAGCGCGCCCAGCGUGAAGCGGCUAAAAGUACUGGGCUCGCCCAAACCACCCUGCCCGUCGGGCCGGUAAGGGUUAACUCAAUAGACGACGCUAAACAUGUAGAGCCAAAGGCAGCGGACUGACGGACGGGGGUUCAAAUCCCCCCGCCUCCACCA